rnacentral:rRNA from 1 species
AAACUUGAGAGUUUGAUCAUGGCUCAGAACGUACGCUGGCGGCACGCCUAACACAUGCAAGUCGAACGAAGUAGCAAUACUUAGUGGCAGACGGGUGAGUAACAUGUAGGUAUCUACCCUGUGGCCUGGAAUAACACGAGGAAACUUGUGCUAAUACCGGAUAAGUCUUUACGGAGAAAGCUUUAUGCACCAUUGGAUGAGCCUGCACUUGAUUAGUUUGUUGGUAGGGUAAUGGCCUACCAAGACUUUGAUCAAUAGCUGAUUUGAGAGGAUGAUCAGCCACAUUGGGACUGAGACACGGCCCAAACUCCUACGGGAGGCAGCAGUGGGGAAUCUUGCACAAUGGAGGAAACUCUGAUGCAGCGAUGCCGCGUGAGUGAAGAAGGCCUUUGGGUUGUAAAGCUCUUUCGUCGGGGAAGAAAAUGACUGUACCCGAAUAAGAAGGUCCGGCUAACUUCGUGCCAGCAGCCGCGGUAAUACGAAGGGACCUAGCGUAGUUCGGAAUUACUGGGCUUAAAGAGUUCGUAGGUGGUUGAAAAAGUUGGUGGUGAAAUCCCAGAGCUUAACUCUGGAACUGCCAUCAAAACUUUUCAGCUAGAGUUUGAUAGAGGAAAGCAGAAUUUCUAGUGUAGAGGUGAAAUUCGUAGAUAUUAGAAAGAAUACCAAUUGCGAAGGCAGCUUUCUGGAUCAUUACUGACACUGAGGAACGAAAGCAUGGGUAGCGAAGAGGAUUAGAUACCCUCGUAGUCCAUGCCGUAAACGAUGUGUGUUAGACGUUGGAAAUUUAUUUUCAGUGUCGCAGCGAAAGCGAUAAACACACCGCCUGGGGAGUACGACCGCAAGGUUAAAACUCAAAUGAAUUGACGGGGACCCGCACAAGUAGUGGAGCAUGUGGUUUAAUUCGAAGAUACGCGCAGAACCUUACCAACACUUGACAUGUUCGUCGCGACUUUAAGAGAUUAAAGUUUUCGGUUCGGCCGGACGAAACACAGGUGCUGCAUGGCUGUCGUCAGCUCGUGUCGUGAGAUGUUGGGUUAAGUCCCGCAACGAGCGCAACCCUCACUUUUAGUUGCCAUCAUUUAGUUGGGCACUCUGAAAGAACUGCCAGUGAUAAGCUGGAGGAAGGUGGGGAUGACGUCAAGUCCUCAUGGCCCUUACGUGUUGGGCUACACACGUGCUACAAUGGUAUCUACAACAGGAAGCAAAACGGCGACGUUAAGCAAAUCCUUAAAAGAUACCUCAGUUCGGAUUGCACUCUGCAACUCGAGUGCAUGAAGCUGGAAUUACUAGUAAUCGUGGAUCAGCGUGCCACGGUGAAUGCGUUCCCGGGUCUUGUACACACCGCCCGUCACACCAUGGGAGUUGGUUCUACCUUAAGGCAAGGUUUAAAACCCUUGACCACGGUAUAGUCAGCGACUGGGGUGAAGUCGUAACAAGGUAGCCGUAGGGGAACCUGCGGCUGGAUUACCUCCUUU